GAACUCUGCUUCCAGUUUAACACCAUCAUAUAAAAUAAGAGGGAGUAUUAUUUAUUAGCUACCAAUAUAUGACACCUCCAUUUCAAAAAUACCACCAGAUAUAGAGGUUCUUUUGUGUUAUAAACUUGAUGCAAAUUCAUUCUUCAGGUAAAAACAGUAUAGAUAGAAACUGAUUACACACCCCUUCAGAGUAAGAAUUUAGUGUAUGUAACAUUAUCUAAAGCUAGAAUCGCACGGCGGUACAAUAAACCAAUAAUCUAGAAGUGUAUAUACAUAGGUAAAAGACGGGAAACUACAGUCAAUGAUAGAUUGAUGAUAUUUGCAUGCAAAAAAUGUCUAAAGAUGUCCACAUAAUUUUCUCUUUUCUCCUUAAUUUCAUAAACCACAAUUGCUUUCAGAAUGAGUGGUGUAGACAAACCAAAAUGUGAUGCUGCAGGCAUGACAAACCUUUCUGAUUCUGAUUGAUACUCCUAAUUUCUCCUCUUGUCAAAAGAGGUGCCUCAAGUUUCAUCAAUUUGGUGAACUGCAGGAGACAAUAGAGUCCUAAUUUCUCCUCUUGUCAAAAGAGGAGCCUCAAGUUUCAUCAAUUUGGUGAACUGCAGGAGACAAUAGAAAGAUGCAGCAGAAAAAAG
rnacentral:lncRNA from 1 species